AUUGGACGCUGGCGGCAGGCCUAACACAUGCAAGUCGAGCGGGGACUUCGGUCCUAGCGGCGAACGGGUGAGUAAUGCUUGGGAAUCUGCCCAGUAGUGGGGGAUAACGUCCCGAAAGGGACGCUAAUACCGCAUACGUCCUACGGGAGAAAGAGGGGGAUCUUCGGACCUCUCGCUAUUGGAUGAGCCCAAGUCGGAUUAGCUAGUUGGUAGGGUAAUGGCCUACCAAGGCGACGAUCCGUAGCUGGUCUGAGAGGAUGAUCAGCCACACUGGAACUGAGACACGGUCCAGACUCCUACGGGAGGCAGCAGUGGGGAAUAUUGGACAAUGGGCGAAAGCCUGAUCCAGCCAUGCCGCGUGUGUGAAGAAGGCCUUCGGGUUGUAAAGCACUUUAAGCGGGGAGGAAGGUUCGCGGCCUAAUACGUCGCGGAAUUGACGUUACCCGCAGAAUAAGCACCGGCUAACUCUGUG
rnacentral:rRNA from 1 species